GACUUCUGUUCCUGAAGUGACUUCUUUAUCCUGGUAGAUGCUUUGUUAUCCUACUUAGACAUGAAGCUUUCUUCAAUUUCCCUCUCCUCCCAAAUCACUGCAAAUUCAUUCCCUCAUCUAUUCAUUCAUUUAUUCAAUAAACCUUUCUAGGACAACUACAAAAAAUUGGGACUAUAAAUACUAGUGAGACUUAAACUCUAUCCUUCAGAAGUUUUUCCUCUAUUUGUAGGAGCUACACAGUUUGAGAAAAUUAAGUGAAGUGCAAUACCCGUCAAAGCUCUUUUUAGAGGAGAUUUUUAUGAAGGACAAUUAGCUCAUAAAGCUACUUUCCAGGAGAGCCCUGACUGGGAAAGAAGUUGGGUUCAGGAGAAACAUGGAAGAGGCAGAACAGUCCAGUAGUUUGCAUCUCUAUGUUCAACAGCCAGGCAAUUACCAGGAAGUAAUGGUGCAAGACAGAAAACUGGAUCAACAGCACUGAGAUAUUGGAAGAAGGCAGAGAGCUGGAAACUGUAACGGACUGUAACUGUUGUAGUUUAGAUAAUAAAAUUUUCCCUGAAAGUCUCAUGAAUUCAGAGGUGGGGCUUUUGGAAGCUCCUUCCUUCACUCUCUGCUUCUUGGCUCCCAUAAGGUCAGCAGCUUUCUUCUGCUGUGCCCUUUUGCUGUGAUGUUUUUAUCUUGAAUCCAGUCAACCAUGGAUUUAAACUUUUGAAACUAUCAGCUGAAAUGAACUUUUCCUCCUUGAAGUUGCUCAUCUCAGGUGUUUGGUCACUGCUACAGUAUGUACUGUUAUUACCAUCAUUUUAUGAUAAGAAGACUGAAUCUCAGAGAUCACUCUGAGGCCAAACAGUCCAGCUUCACAUUAUAAGUGAAAGUUCAUUAUGACCUAAUCCUGACCUAUCAGAGAACAAAACCACAAGAGAAUGAAUUUAUACCAUCUCUUGGCAAAAAUGGGAUCAAGGAUGAUAAGGCAAGAAGGCCCUUGCUUAUGCUGACACUGUGAACUUGGACUUUGAAGACUCCAGAACUGAGGACCUUUCCUGGAUAAGUCCUGAAGAAAGUGAUGGAAAAAGAUGCCACAGAACCAAACCUUAUUCAGCACUGUGGCUUCCUCCUCUGCUCAGCUCUCAUCUGAGUGUGCAUCCUGCCACCCAGAAGUACUAGCCUUUCCUUUCUCCUGUGUCUGGUUACAACCUGCUUCCUCACUAUAUUUUAAUAUGUUAAAUCAAAAAAUCAAAAAAUAGGAAAUGACAGACUUACCUGUGUGGCAUAUCCUAGGAAUAUCUAACUAUGGAACAUAAUUAGAAAUAACUUUUAUAAAAGUUGCAUGACUUGGAGGAGUGGAACCACUUGGAGCCCUCUGGCUGCACUGCCCCCUUGUGGGCCUCCCAGCCAGGGGUGCACCCAUGAGGAGUGGAGCCACACAGGCACCUGCAGCACCACUCCAGCCCCAGCCCUUCCCUGCGUUUGGCCUCCUGGUUGUGCCUGUACCUGGAUCCACAGCCCAGAGGCACAGCGGAGUCAUAAAGGCCAUUGUCCUGAGCUCCAGAAGAUAGAUCAGAAGUGAACAACAGAAAGAGGGUCUUUUGUCAGGCUCCUUGACAAUUCAAGCCCACUGGAAAAGUGAAGAGAAUCUCUGCAAUAAAGGCACACCAGACCACCAUAUUUGGUAAAUUGGAGGGAUCACCACCUCCUAUCAGAACCUGGACUAUCUUCAGGGGAAGAGCAGCUG
ensembl:lncRNA